AGUGAACGCUGGCGGUAGGCCUAACACAUGCAAGUCGAACGGCAGCACAGUAAGAGCUUGCUCUUACGGGUGGCGAGUGGCGGACGGGUGAGGAAUACAUCGGCAUCUACUUUUUCGUGGGGGAUAACGUAGGGAAACGUACGCUAAUACCGCAUACGACCUACGGGUGAAAGCAGGGGAUCUUCGGACCUUGCGCGAUUGAAUGAGCCGAUGUCGGAUUAGCUAGUUGGCGGGGUAAAGGCCCACCAAGGCGACGAUCCGUAGCUGGUCUGAGAGGAUGAUCAGCCACACUGGAACUGAGACACGGUCCAGACUCCUACGGGAGGCGGCAGUGGGGAAUAUUGGACAAUGGGCGCAAGCCUGAUCCAGCCAUACCGCGUGGGUGAAGAAGGCCUUCGGGUUGUAAAGCCCUUUUGUUGGGAAAGAAAAGCAGCAGGUUAAUACCCCGCUGUUCUGACGGUACCCAAAGAAUAAGCACCGGCUAACUUCGUG
rnacentral:rRNA from 1 species